rnacentral:rRNA from 1 species
CAGCCGCCGCGGGAAAACGGAGGGGGCUAGCGUUGUUCGGAAUUACUGGGCGUAAAGCGCACGUAGGCGGCUUGGUAAGUUAGAGGUGAAAGCCCAGGGCUCAACCCUGGAAUUGCCUUUAAGACUGCCGAGCUAGUAGGUGAGAGAGGUAAGUGGAAUUCCGAGUGUAGAGGUGAAAUUCGUAGAUAUUCGGAAGAACACCAGUGGCGAAGGCGUUCGACGAGAACGGGCCUGACGGUGAGGGGCGAAGGCUAGGGGAGCAAACGGGAUUAGAUACCCCUGUAGUCCCUGUCUCUUAUAC